rnacentral:lncRNA from 1 species
UAGUUUGCUAUCGUAUGGCUUACUUACCUCUUUUAUGUGUUUGAUGGACACAUUGCCCUUUAUAAAUAUGGGAUGCACAGUAAAUUGGUUUGUCCGUUUUGGUUUGUUAGAUUUUCUAAGUUACUAGAAUGCAUUGACUUGGCCUAAUUAGUGUAGAAUGCAAUGAUUUGGCCUAAUUAGGCUUUGGAAUGACCUACAUAACAUAGGUUAUUUCCGGCCACUCGCCAUGUUGAGGGACUCUGGACCUGGCUACAGAUGACAUCAAAGACGUUAGCUUAUUGCCAGCUCUUGG